CACGUAGGGCGCAAGCGUUGUCCGGAAUUAUUGGGCGUAAAGAGCUCGUAGGCGGUCUGUUGCGUCCGCUGUGAAAACUCGGGGCUUAACCCCGAGCCUGCAGUGGAUACGGGCAGACUAGAGGUAGGUAGGGGAGAAUGGAAUUCCCGGUGUAGCGGUGAAAUGCGCAGAUAUCGGGAGGAAUACCAGUGGCGAAGGCGGCCUUCUGGACGGAUACUGACGCUGAGGCGCGAAAGCCAGGGGAGCAAACGGG
rnacentral:rRNA from 1 species